rnacentral:rRNA from 1 species
GUAGGUGGCAAGCGUUGUCCGGAAUUAUUGGGCGUAAAGCGCGCGCAGGCGGUUCUUUAAGUCUGAUGUGAAAGCCCACGGCUCAACCGUGGAGGGUCAUUGGAAACUGGAGAACUUGAGUACAGAAGAGGAAAGCGGAAUUCCACGUGUAGCGGUGAAAUGCGUAGAGAUGUGGAGGAACACCAGUGGCGAAGGCGGCUUUCUGGUCUGUAACUGACGCUGAGGCGCGAAAGCGUGGGGGGCAAACAGGAUUAGAUACCCUGGUAGUCCACGCCGUAAACGAUGAGUGCUAAGUGUUAGGGGGUUUCCCGCCCCCCUUAGUGCUGCAGCUAACGCAUUAAGCACUCCGCCUGGGGGAGUACGGCCCGCAAGGCUG